rnacentral:rRNA from 1 species
GUAGCAAAAUAAUUUGUUUUUUAAUUGAAAACGAGUAUGAAUGGUUUAAUGAAUAUUUUUAUUUUUACGUAAUUAUAUUAAGUUUUAAGUUAAGUAAAAAUACUUAAAUAAAUAAAAGGGACGAUAAGACCCUAAAAUCUUUAUUUUUAUAUUUUUUAAAACAAUAAAGUUUAUAAUUGAAUUAAUCAUAAAAUUUAAUUGGGGUAAUUAUUUUAUUAAAAUUAAAAUUUUUAAGACUUUAUUAAAAGAAUUUAAGGUCUUAUAUAUAUAGACAGUUAGAUUAAGUUACUUUAGGGAUAACAGCGUAAUAUUUUUAGAAAGGUCUUAUUAAUAAAAAUGAUUGCGACCUCGAUGUUGAAUUAAAAAAUCUAUAUAAUGCAUAAGGUAUAUAAGAAAGUUUGUUCAACUUUUAAAUUUUU